AUCCACGCUGCCCUGGCCGUUGUUGCCGCCGUGUCGACCAUCCGGUGCAACCCCGAUGAGGAUAAGACCGCUCCUGACCCUGUAGACAAACCCUAUCCCUCACUUAUCCUCUUGCUCGUCCUCUCCCUCUCGGUUUCGCUCGCUCCCGAGCUCUCGUCGACGCGUCGUCGCCAUCCUCGCGGCCACUGGCCUCCCCGGCGAUUGGGAGGUUCUCCAAGAGCUCCGGCAUCAUCGACUGCUUCACCUACCUCCGCUGAAUCAAGCUAAGAGGCACCGUACGCUCGGGAUCGAGAUGGUUUCCGCCACGGCCGUUGCAUCUUGCUGUCGAGCUUGACGCAUCUGGCCACCACCGCAGCUCCUGACCUCCUCCACAAGCUCCGCGACCCCGUGACGGCUGCCGAUGCCGCCGUGAUCGACUACGUCACCGACGACCCUCCUUCUCGUCUGAGCAACAAGAUGUGGGAGCCCAGGAGCCAGAUUCCACCGCCGAUGCCUACUACUACGUGGAGACCGCUAACGACCAGGAGUAGUUAGGAGGCUCCCAGGCACGAGGCCUUGCCUUUUCGGUCGUAGAUGCUUUUGUGCUAGCCUUCUUAAGGCAUCCUUGUCUAACUUAUGUCUGUACUCAGAUAUUGUUGCUUCCGCUGACUCUUGUGUAUUCGAGCUUAUGUAUUCGAGCCCUCGAGGCCCCUGGCUUGUAAUAUAAAGCUUGUAUUAUUUUAAUUUGUGUCUAGAGUUGUGUUGUGAUAUCUUCCCGUGAGUC
rnacentral:rRNA from 1 species